rnacentral:rRNA from 1 species
UGGGGAAUAUUGCGCAAUGGGCGAAAGCCUGACGCAGCCACGCCGCGUGAGCGAUGAAGGUCUUCGGAUCGUAAAGCUCUGUGGGGGGAGAAGAAGAAAGCCUGUGAAGAGCAGGCCUUGACGGUAUCCCCUUAGCAAGCACCGGCUAACUCCGUGCCAGCAGCCGCGGUAAUACGGAGGGUGCAAACGUUGCUCGGAAUUAUUGGGCGUAAAGCGCACGUAGGCGGCCUAUUAAGUUGGGUGUGAAAGCCCGGGGCUCAACCCCGGAAGUGCAUCCAAAACUGCUAGGCUUGAGUACCAGAGGGGGUCGGAGAAUUCCCGGUGUAGAGGUGAAAUUCGUAGAUAUCGGGAGGAAUACCAGUGGCGAAGGCGCCGACCUGGAUGGUAACUGACGCUGAGGUGCGAAAGCGUGGGGAGCAAACAGG